rnacentral:rRNA from 1 species
GAUGAACGCUAGCGGCAGGCCUAACACAUGCAAGUCGAGGGAUAAGCCUUCGGGCUAAGACCGGAGCACGGGUGCGUAACGCGUAUACAAUCUGCCUUUUAUCCGGGGGAUAGCCCGAAGAAAUUUGGAUUAAUACCCUAUGGUAUAAGAGCACGGCAUCGUGCACUUAUUAAAGCUACGGCGGUAAAAGAUGAGUAUGCGUUCUAUUAGCUAGUUGGAGAGGUAACGGCUCCCCAAGGCGACGAUAGAUAGGGGUUCUGAGAGGGAUGUCCCCCACACUGGUACUGAGAUACGGACCAGACUCCUACGGGAGGCAGCAGUGAGGAAUAUUGGACAAUGGUCGGAAGACUGAUCCAGCCAUGCCGCGUGCAGGAUGACGGCCUUAUGGGUUGUAAACUGCUUUUGUAAGGGAAGAACAAGGAGUACGUGUACUUUGAUGACGGUACCUUACGAAUAAGCAUCGGCUAACUCCGUG